CACGUAGUCCUUCGGGUUUAGUGGCGCACGGGUGCGUAACGCGUGGGAAUCUGCCCCUUGGUUCGGAAUAACAGUUGGAAACGACUGCUAAUACCGGAUGAUGACGUAAGUCCAAAGAUUUAUCGCCGAGGGAUGAGCCCGCGUAGGAUUAGGUAGUUGGUGUGGUAAAGGCGCACCAAGCCGACGAUCCUUAGCUGGUCUGAGAGGAUGAUCAGCCACACUGGGACUGAGACACGGCCCAGACUCCUACGGGAGGCAGCAGUGGGGAAUAUUGGACAAUGGGCGAAAGCCUGAUCCAGCAAUGCCGCGUGAGUGAUGAAGGCCUUAGGGUUGUAAAGCUCUUUUACCCGGGAUGAUAAUGACAGUACCGGGAGAAUAAGCUCCGGCUAACUCCGUGCCAGCAGCCGCGGUAAUACGGAGGGAGCUAGCGUUAUUCGGAAUUACUGGGCGUAAAGCGCACGUAGGCGGCUUUGUAAGUAAGAGGUGAAAGCCCAGAGCUCAACUCUGGAAUUGCCUUUUAGACUGCAUCGCUUGAAUCAUGGAGAGGUCAGUGGAAUUCCGAGUGUAGCGGUGAAAUGCGU
rnacentral:rRNA from 1 species